rnacentral:rRNA from 1 species
GACGAACGCUGGCGGCGUGCUUAACACAUGCAAGUCGAACGGAAAGGCCCUGCUUUUGUGGGGUGCUCGAGUGGCGAACGGGUGAGUAACACGUGAGUAACCUACCCUUGACUUUGGGAUAACUUCAGGAAACUGGGGCUAAUACCGGAUAGGAGCUCCUGCUGCAUGGUGGGGGUUGGAAAGUUUCGGCGGUUGGGGAUGGACUCGCGGCUUAUCAGCUUGUUGGUGGGGUAGUGGCUUACCAAGGCUUUGACGGGUAGCCGGCCUGAGAGGGUGACCGGCCACAUUGGGACUGAGGUACGGCCCAGACUCCUACGGGAGGCAGCAGUGGGGAAUAUUGCACAAUUGGCGGAAGCCUUAUGAAGCAACGCCGCGUGCGGGAUGACGGCCUUCGGGUUGUAAACCGCUUUCGCCUGUGACGAAGCGUGAGUGACGGUAAUGGGUAAAGAAGCACCGGCUAACUACGUG